rnacentral:lncRNA from 1 species
CCCUGACUGCCUCUCAGGAACAACCACAGGUCAGCAAGGUGGCUGAAUAUUGAGGGUCAGUCCCGCUGUGGCUACGGGCAGAGGGCAGGCUGUGUCCAUGCUCAGCCCUGACUCUGGCCCUCUGGGACACCUUGGUGGGUCUGAGACGUUGCUGCAGGCCCUGGGGCAGAAGCCAGGAGGAGUGUCCACGCAGCCUCAGCCCGUGGGAAUCCAGCCUGCCUCCAUUACUGCCGUCACCGGCUCCACCUUCGGAAAACAUCUCAGCAUCCAGCCUCCUUCCUCUGCCUCCUCUCAGGCCUCUGCCGUUCCCAUGCAGGGCAGGCCGAGCUGUUUUUACAGCAUGGAAAGUUAUGUAAGGGAAGCCACACCGGCCGCAGAUACAGGCACCAGCACGUCCACUCGCAUGCACACUCACGGCUGUGGCCUGCGGCAGAUGGAGGCCCGCCCUGCCUUGUUUGUCCCUCAGUAGUGUGCGAUGACAGCACACCUGUGGGGGCCCUGCAGCUGGGAAGACUGCAGCGAGGCUCAACUCAGAGGCCCCUGCUCAGGAGCAUGGCUGAGUCACACCCCAGGGAGAAGGUGCCCCGGACAGGUGUGGCCAGCACGUCUUGCCAAGACCCCACCACCCCACCCACCCGCAUCUGUGGCCUUCUGGAACCGAGCUGUGGCCUGGGGUUCCGUGGAGCAGGUUGAGUGUGGAGGAACUGGGGUUCCGUGGAGCAGGUGGGGCGCGGAGGAACCGAGCUGUGGCCUGGGAUUCCGUGGAGCAGAACUCCAACACCUCCGAGAGGACUGAAAACACAGUGACCAGCUCCUACGUGCAUUUCCUG